rnacentral:misc_RNA from 1 species
GAAAAUGUGAUAUAUUCAUUGGAAAUUGUCACGUGCCGCAGAGCGAUCCUAACUGAAAGAGACUCGGAAGGGUUUCACCCAUUUUUGUGAUCCCAAAUAGUCUUGGAAGUGUUUUCGCCAAGAUGUUUGUUUAUAUUUGAUGUGAUUUGUGUGUUAUAUUUAUGAUUGCAUAAUUUAUACGGGGCCAGUGCCAGCAUCGAGUGCUCCUCUGCUUUGUGAUUAGCUGGCUCUAUUUAUCCAUUAACACCCACACACCCAUCGAUAAUCGUACGCUCCACGAUGAAGAAGCUACAUUUGGGCGCCAAGCAUAAAGCGAAGUCGUACAAACCCUUUCGGAAUAAGAAUCGUCGGGGUUCUGCCGACUCGAACUACUCACAACCGUCAUCCGAUCUGUCGCUAGACGAGGAAAAGGAAUCGCUUCGGCGAGAAAAGGAACGUCAGGCCUUAAGCCAGUUGGAUAAAGCGAGGAGUAAACCUGUAGCGUUCGCUGUGCGAACCAACGUAGCAUAUGAUGGCACAAUCGACGACGAUUCGCCCGUGCAGGGCGGUGCAGUUUCAUUUGAGAUCCGGGAGUUUUUGCACAUCAAGGAGAAGUAUGACAAUAACUGGUGGAUCGGCAGACUGGUUAAGGAAGGCUGUGAUGUGGGCUUCAUACCCAGCCCCGCUAAGCUAGACAACAUUCGUAUGCAGAAUCAAACUAGACCCUCAAGACUGUACGGCACAAAGGGCUCCUCAAGCGGCAAUCUAGGUGCGGGACAAGCAGGUGCGGAGCCAUCACGAGAUUCCAUGGGACCAGGACGUCAUGGCAAGACACCGUUAGCAACGCCGCCCAACAAGGAGAAGCGCAAGCCAUUUUUCAAGAAACAGGAGACAGCCAGCCCGUACGAUGUGGUGCCAUCGAUGCGUCCUGUUGUUUUAGUGGGUCCAAGCCUUAAGGGUUACGAGGUAACCGACAUGAUGCAAAAGGCGCUGUUUGAUUUCCUCAAGCAUCGCUUCGAAGGACGCAUCAUCAUCACGCGCGUCAUGGCCGAUAUAUCACUAGCGAAACGCUCGAUCAUGAACAAUCCAUCAAAGCGUGCCAUCAUGGAGCGUUCCAGCAGUCGGUCGGAUUGUCUGGGCAAGGUCCAAGAGGAGAUCGAGCGCAUCUUUGAGCUGGCCCGUUCCCUGCAGCUGGUCGUACUCGAUUGUGAUACAAUCAAUCAUCCGUCACAAUUAGCAAAAACUUCAUUAGCGCCAACAAUAGUUUACUUAAAGAUUAGUAGUAGUAAGGUUUUACAGCGUUUAAUCAAAUCACGUGGCAAAUCACAAGCUAAAAACUUAUCCGUACAAAUGGUUGCCGCUGAAAAAUUAGCCCAAUGUCCACCCGAAAUGUUCGAUGUAAUUUUAGACGAGAACCAAUUGGAAGAUGCCUGCGAGCACAUAGCUGAAUACUUGGAGACAUAUUGGAAAGCCACGCAUCCAGAUAUACGCGCUGGGUCCACCGUACCGGCCAUUGCCAGGCCGAUACCGUCCCAGGAGGUGUCGGCAUCGCCCUCUGCCGAUCCAGCGCGCUUGGGUCCAACACCACCAGUUACUCCUGGCGUCGUGCGCCUCUAGUGUCCUCUCGUCCUCGUCCUUCUACUCGAUUCCUACAUUGCUCGGGUCCAGUCUGUCAGGCUCAGCAAAUCAACUCAGUUUAAUAUCUUGUGUUUGUUUAAGCUCAAUACUUUUUAUUACCGUUCGUCAUUUCGAGUUAGUUAAAAAACCAAAUCAAAAAAGAAAGAAACAAAAUAAUAUUCGUUAUUUUAGACACACAUAAGGUUGGCUUAGAGGUGCCUCUUAUCAUCACAGUCGUCGUCAGGUCUCUGGGCGACAUCAGGAGCGCGGCAGCGGAGGUGUCGGAG